AAAUUUGCGCCCUUCGUUACACCCUUCCUUAUUGACAGGAAUCCUAAUUAAUACUAAUUGAAUCCCUCUGAUUUCUUCCCAAAUCUCUCGCGAGGCGCGAUCUCCUUCCACAGUUUUCUGAUCCACACGCCGCCCCCGCGCGCCCUUCUCUGCACAAUAGCCGUCGCGGCGAUGAUGAAUCCCUGCUCCAUCCUCACGCGGACGACCUGAUCCGCCCGCACGAAUAAGCCUCCGCUGCCCUGGUGAUCCAGCACAGCGCUGAGGCCCUGUCCCGCACGAGCGAGGAUGCCCGGAUCUGCCCAUGCUAGAAGGCCCUUCUCUGUCCGCACGUCGACAUCCUGAUCCUCACGUGCAAGGACGCUCGGCUCCGCCCGUGCUACGAGCCCCUGCUCCGCCAGCGCGCCCUACUUUGCCCGAAUGACUACGCCUUGGUCUUGACGGUACGCACCAUCGAAUCACCACUCAUCCCCUCCCUGGGUCGUCGACCACUGGGUCUUCGAUUGUGCUCCGCCACCAGCCACUCCACAGUGGAGCUCGACCUCCGCAGAGCGUGCAAGACCUCGACAUCGCUUUCUCGCCGCUCUCACCCACAUCUAAGGCGCUACCCAGCAUGGCCACAGCUCUGCCCCAAGCGGCCAUCCAUGGAUCCACCGGAGAAGCACACCAGCAGCAAUGCACAGCCGAGCAGAAAAGGCCACCCGUCUUCUUCAGCCCGAUCUGCAGCCCCGCCGCCGCGUCCCCAGCCUGAUCUCUAGCUCCGCCCCAGCCUCGUCGGCCUGCCAUCCGGAUCCUCGUCAUCUCCGUCCCUGCCGCAGCCUCACCGGACUGCCACCCCUUCCUCGCCAUCUUAGGCAUUUCUGACGGCCGUCGGAAGCCAAUGUUGCCAUUCUUGCCACCGUUGAUGUAGAGUACACCAAGGAGGCCACCAACCAAUCACAGCGAUGUGUAAUGGUUUGUCUUCUCAAGGCUGCAGCAGAUUGAAGUGGAUCGUGUUCUAUCCAUUUGGUCCUCGAAGUUCAUUUACAUAUGUCACGGUGAGAAGCAACUACUAUAGACAAUCGACAUGACCGGAUGCAUUACAGCAUGGGCAGCAUCAAACCAGGAGGGAAAAGGGUGAUGGUGGCAAGAUGUGGAGCUAUUGGCGGAACAAAAAAAAUGGGUAAGAUUUGCUCAUCUUCCUUCACCUCAGAUUUGCCCACUCUUUGAAAUUUGAUUACGCUACUGGAUUUGUUACUUCUCAAUGAAAAUUGUUUGAUACAUUUGUAUCAGCAGGUGAAAAGGAAGAACUUUACUUACUAGAUAUAAUUGAUUGUACACAUAUUGUGAUCCAGUGCAAUUAGUAAAUGGAUAGAUCUUCAUAUACUUCUGUGCUUAGAUCUGCAUAUUUUUCCUGUCCUCUACUGUUCUAGGUUUUUGUGAGGUAGAAUCGAAUAUCUUCAAUUUGAAUAAAAAUCCUACAUCUUCUUUCUUCAGUUUGUUUGACUAUUUCUUGGUUAGAGAGUUGGAUAUGUGCUAGAACUGCCUAGGCAGUGCUAAAAAAGAAGUAUCCCAUGAAUAUGAAUAUUCUGGUUGCCAUGUAAGCUGUCUUUGGUGUUUACAUUUUUUUCAUUUUCAGAUUACUAUUUGCAAAAAGAAGAAGGUUGAAGAAUACGACUUUCCAUUACCAAUUAAUUUACACAGUUUUUCAUUGCCACUUAUGUUGUUUGAAACUACCACUUCUCUUUUUAAAAGCAGCAUGAGUUGACAUUCCACAUCAUGAGUUUAGUUUCAGGGAGAUGAUAUUCCACAGCAUGAAUUGUCACAUCCAGCUAAGAGAAGGUUUUCACAGAGAUCUCCAAUCAGGUCUGCAACAGCUAGCACAACCAGUACAAUAUUGUUUCUUCUCCGUAUAGGUUGCUGGCCAACACUCUAUUCUACUGGUCUGAUUUGUUUCGGCUGCUCAGGAGGUAUGGCACUCGGAUGCUGAUGCACCCUAGACGCACAUGAGAGCAGGACUUCUGACAACAACUUCUGAAUUCAUCUCUUCAGAAAUAAAAAAAAUGUUGUUGCUUCGGAUACAAUGACAUGAAAACUCGCUAUACUUUUAUUUGUUCAGAUACCUUCAGAAACUACUCUACUGUUUCUGGUAGUUAGGUUUGUUGCUUGGCGAAAACAUUUGAUAGCUAUCGUGGGAUAAACUACCAUAUCUCUAAGUGCAAGUUGGUAAGAUUGUAUCGCUUGUUAAUUAGUGUCGUCGUUUACGCUUUCCUAACAUCUACCUUGUGCAGAUUCUGUUGCCACAUGCUCUCAUCGGCAGCUACAUUCUGUUUACACUGGAUAUGGAUAAUAGAACACUUCCUAUGUCCU